AAGAAAAUAUAGUUCCUAGUAUUUUGACUUAUAAUACUGUUAUUAACUCUUGUGCUCGAGGUGGAUAUGAAUGGGAGGGUUUAUUAGGUCUGUUUGCUGAAAUGCGACACGAGGGUAUUCAACCGGAUUUAGUUACGUACAAUACUUUGCUUAGUGCUUGUUCAAGUAGAGAAUUAGAAGAUGAGGCAGAGAUGGUUUUUAGGACAAUGAAUGAGGCUGGGGUUUUGCCUGAUGUAACUACUUACAGUUAUUUGGUGGAGACUUUUGGGAAACUGGGGAAAUUGGAAAAGGUCUCGGAAUUGCUCAUGGAAAUGGAGGCUGGAGGUACGUCGCCCGAGGUUACCUCGUAUAAUGUCUUAUUGGAGGCUUAUGCGCAUUUGGGGUCUAUGAAAGAGGCUAUGGAUGUGUUUAGGCAAAUGCAGGCAGCUGGAUGUGUGGCUAAUGCAGAGACUUAUAGUAUUCUGUUGAAUUUAUAUGGGAAAAAUGGGAGAUAUGAUCAGGUUAGGGAGCUUUUCCUUGAGAUGAAAACGAGUAAUACAGAGCCAGAUGCGGAUACAUACAAUAUUCUCAUCCAGGUAUUUGGUGAAGGUGGUUACUUUAAGGAGGUGGUAACAUUGUUCCAUGACAUGGUUGAAGAGAAGGUAGAACCAAA
rnacentral:misc_RNA from 1 species